rnacentral:rRNA from 1 species
UACUCGAGUGGCGAACGGGUGAGUAACACGUGGGUGAUCUGCCCUGCACUUCGGGAUAAGCCUGGGAAACUGGGUCUAAUACCGGAUAGGACCACAUUUUGGAUGGUGUGGUGGAAAGUUUUUCGGUGUGGGAUGAGCUCGCGGCCUAUCAGCUUGUUGGUGGGUAAUGGCCUACCAAGGUGUCGACGGGUAGCCGGCCUGAGAGGGUGUACGGCCACAUUGGGACUGAGAUACGGCCCAG